UACGUAGGGUGCAAGCGUUGUCCGGAAUUAUUGGGCGUAAAGAGCUCGUAGGCGGUCUGUCGCGUCUGGUGUGAAAACUCAAGGCUUAACCUUGGGCCUGCAUCGGGUACGGGCAGACUAGAGUGAUGUAGGGGAGACUGGAAUUCCUGGUGUAGCGGUGAAAUGCGCAGAUAUCAGGAGGAACACCGAUGGCGAAGGCAAUCCCCUGGGCCUGUACUGACGCUCAUGCACGAAAGCGUGGGGAGCAAACAGG
rnacentral:rRNA from 1 species